rnacentral:rRNA from 1 species
GACGAAGGUGGCUAGCGUUGUUCGGUAUCACUGGGCUUAAAGGGUGUGCAGGCGGAAUUGUAAGCGUCUUGUGAAAGCCCCCGGCUUAACCGGGGAAUUGCGAAACGAACUACUUUUCUUGAGGCAAGUAGGGGUGCAUGGAACUCUUGGUGGAGCGGUGGAAUGCGUAGAUAUCAAGAGGAACGCCAGAGGUGAAAACGGUGCACUGGGCUUGUCCUGACGCUGAGACACGAAAGCGUGGGGAGCGAACGGGAUUAGAUACCCCCGUA